rnacentral:ncRNA from 1 species
CUAGCCCUGAAAAUGGAUGGCGCUGAAGCGUCGAGCCUAUACUCUGCCGUCAGCGGCAAGUGGGGCGGCCGCGUGCGCGCGCUUGCUCGCGCACGCGCCGUCAUGAAGCCCUGACGAGUAGGAGGGUCGCGGCGGUGCGCGCAGAAGGGUCUGGGCGCGAGCCUGCCUGGAGCCGCCGUCGGUGCAGAUCUUGGUGGUAGUAGCAAAUACUCCAGCGAGG